rnacentral:rRNA from 1 species
CAGUAGCCGCGGGAAUACGGAGGGCGCGAGCGUUACCCGGAUUUACUGGGCGUAAAGGGCGUGUAGGCGGCCUGGGGCGUCCCAUGUGGAAGGCCACGGCUCAACCGUGGAGGAGCGUGGGAUACGCUCAGGCUAGAGGGUGGGAGAGGGUGGUGGAAUUCCCGGAGUAGCGGUGAAAUGCGCAGAUACCGGGAGGAACGCCGAUGGCGAAGGCAGCCACCUGGUCCACUUCUGACGCUGAGGCGCGAAAGCGUGGGGAGCAAACCGGAUUAGAUACCCCUGUAGUCCCUGUCUCUUAUAC